UACGUAGGGGGCUAGCGUUGUCCGGAAUCAUUGGGCGUAAAGCGCGCGUAGGCGGCCCGGUAAGUCCGCUGUGAAAGUCAAAGGCUCAACCUUUGAAUGUCAGCGGAUACUGCCGGGCUAGAGUCCGGAAGAGGCGAGUGGAACUCCUGGUGUAGCGGUGGAAUGCGCAGAUAUCAGGAGGAACACCAAUGGCGAAGGCAGCUCGCUGGGACGUUACUGACGCUGAGACGCGAAAGCGUGGGGAGCAAACAGG
rnacentral:rRNA from 1 species